rnacentral:rRNA from 1 species
AGAGCGAACGCUGGCGGCAGGCUUAACACAUGCAAGUCGAGCGGGCGUAGCAAUACGUCAGCGGCAGACGGGUGAGUAACGCGUGGGAACAUACCUUUUGGUUCGGAACAACACAGGGAAACUUGUGCUAAUACCGGAUAAGCCCUUACGGGGAAAGAUUUAUCGCCGAAAGAUUGGCCCGCGUCUGAUUAGCUAGUUGGUGAGGUAACGGCCCACCAAGGCGACGACGGGUAGCCGGCCUGAGAGGGCGACCGGCCACACUGGGACUGAGACACGGCCCAGACUCCUACGGGAGGCAGCAGUGGGGAAUAUUGCGCAAUGGGCGAAAGCCUGACGCAGCGACGCCGCGUGGGGGAUGAAGGCCUUCGGGUUGUAAACCCCUUUCAGCAGGGACGAAGCGAAAGUGACGGUACCUGCAGAAGAAGCGCCGGCUAACUACGCGCCAGCAGCCGC